UGUAACACUGAUAGCAGUGACAGGCUGUCACUGCGAUCAGAGCGCUCUGAGAUCGCAGUGACAGCCUGUCAUUGCGAUCUCAGAGUU
rnacentral:miRNA from 1 species